GUAGGGGGCAAGCGUUAUCCGGAUUUACUGGGUGUAAAGGGAGCGUAGACGGCAAGGCAAGUCUGAUGUGAAAACCCAGGGCUUAACCCUGGGACUGCAUUGGAAACUGUCUGGCUCGAGUGCCGGAGAGGUAAGCGGAAUUCCUAGUGUAGCGGUGAAAUGCGUAGAUAUUAGGAAGAACACCAGUGGCGAAGGCGGCUUACUGGACGGUAACUGACGUUGAGGCUCGAAAGCGUGGGGAGCAAACAGGAUUAGAUACCCUGGUAGUCCACGCCGUAAACGAUGCGAACUGGACGUUGGGAGCAAUUAGGCUCUCAGUGUCGAAGCUAACGCGUUAAGUUCGCCGCCUGGGGAGUACGGUCGCAAGACUG
rnacentral:rRNA from 1 species